rnacentral:lncRNA from 1 species
AGUCUUUUUUCUUUUUUUAAGGCAAGAGUCCAAAAAGGAUGUGUUUUGCCACAAACAAGGAAGAUCAAAGUAACAUACUGUUCUGUUAUUCAACUUAAAAAGAGAGCGAGAUAUUAACAGAAGAAAUCAUGGACCAUAAGUAGAAAUGGGCCCAAGGUGCAGCCAGGAGCUUCUUGGGACUGCUUGCAUCUGGAGGUUGCUGGAACAUUGCAUCAACUGCCUAGAUGGCAGGUGGCAGUUCUUCUUGCAAAGUCAUGGGAGAAAGUCAUCAAAUCUACAAUAAAGUGACUUACAGAGCAAAUGGCAAAUGGUUGAGGUCAUUCCAUGGGCCCUGUAUGCCUGAAGACGCCACCUGUAUGGUCAGCUUCACUUCAGAAUCUUCAGGCUUCAUUAGAAGAACAGAGGCAUACAUCCAACAUUUGAUUCUCAGCAAAAUUUUGCCACAAAAUGAUAAUAACUUUCAUGCUGUUUUGUAAGUACAGAGACUCACUGGAGGUCAUCUGAGGACUCUGAAGAUCUUUGGAAAAAAUCUCCAAUGGGAGAGGGUAACAAUGAGGAUAAUGAUGAAGGCCAAGGACUAACAGAUAUGUUUCUUCUGCUGGGCUUCCAAUGGGCAAGUGAGCCUUACCAAUGGAUCCUGAAGAAAUAACUUCAUCACAAGGCUUCAUUCUGAAUUUCUAAGCACACACUCAUUUUCCUAAAGGAUCGUUCCCUUUGGGAAUGCUGACUGAAAGUAGAAGUCUGGAAAAAUCUGCACUAAACCCAACAUUCAAGUACUUCCCCGUUAAGCAUAAAGGGGAAAUUAAGCAAGAGCACUGAAGGAGGCAGGCAAACUGGCUUCUUGGCCUACCACGAAUCACUCAUGAUGAUGGUUAAGUCUGAGCAUCCAGUCGGGGUUUCCAUUUCCUCCCUCAUAGGGUAAAAGGGUUGGACUAAUUAUCUCUAAUCUGUUUUCCACCAUUAGUAUUCUUUGAAUCUAAGUGAUAAUGAUGAUCAAUGAAACUAAUUAUUUUUCUGAGGCUAUCAGUGAUACAUUUGGAUCUCUAAGAAGGAAAUAGAGAAAGGCACAUUACAGAUCUUGUUUUUUGAGAUUAUUUUCUUGAUUUCCUACAAUUGCUCUGGUACACUAUGUUCAAUUAAUAAUUUUAUUUACUAUAAUUAGAAUUUCUAAUAUAUCAUAAAAUCCACAGGCAAACAUUACACUAAGAAUGUUCCUACAUGAAACAAAAACCACUAGUUUAUUAAGCAAAACAAACUAUAUGACCCUGUGUAAAAUAAAACCAACAAGGCUACAGUUUGAUUUUCCCUCCAUUUUUACCCAUUUAUGUGGAAGCUUAUAGAAAUAAUACUGGAGUACUGUAAUACAAAUUAGAAUCAUAAUAUUUAAUAUUAAAAAACAAUAUUCUAACAUUCUCUCUUAAUAGAUUAGAUAGAGAGGGUGCAUCUGAUUGGUUUUGACCAUGCAGAACUCUCUACACACAAAUCUAUGACAACAAAUUUGAAAAUGUUCAAGAAUGAAUGAUUUAUUAAGAAAAUGAAAAUUGUCAAAUGACCCACAACAAAAGUUAAACAAGAACAUUUGCUAUAAAACAGUUAACAAAAGUUAAACAGAACAUUUGCUAUAAAACAGAAUGGAAAGGUGAGUGAAUAUCCCUCAAAUUCUGGUUAAUUAUAAAACAAGAUCAUUGCAAUGGUAUUUAAAUUAUUUUUUAUCAUGAAAAAGUUAGAAAUAACCCUAAUUUAUUUUAUAUAAUCAGGAUAACUUUAUAUUAAAGAUAGCACAAUAUAUAGAAAAUUGGAAUUAAUCCCAAUAACGAUAGGUACAAGAUUCUAAAAUUAAAAAAUUAGCAAAUAUCCAGCAAUAUAUUAAAAUAGUAAUACCCUACAAUAAAAAAAAGAAAACAAAGGAAAGCAUAUAAGAACAAGAAGAAAACAUGAGUGAAUUACAUUAUAACUUAGGUGUGGGGAAAGUGACCUUCCUACCUUUGACUCAAAGUCCAGGGGCAAUAUAAGAAAAGAUUGAUAAAUUCAACCCAAAGAAAGCAAAAUAUCACAAAUAAAACAAACCUCUGUAUAGUAAAACUGUAGAAGCAAAGAUAAAAGACAAAUGACAAACCAAGAGAAAAUAGUGGCAAUGUGUAUAAAGGGCUAAUAGUCCCAAUAUGUAUAAAACUUUCAAAACUUGAGGGUAGAAAAAGAUAAACAAUUGACAGAAAAAUGGGCAAAGGACAUGAACAACAAUUCACACACAAAACACAAAAUGGCCAUCAUGCAUAUGACAGGAUGCUCAUCUUCACUCAUAAUAAGAGAAAUCUAAAUUUAAAGUAUACUAAGAUACCAUUUUAGCCUACCAAACUGUCAAAAUUAAAAGCCUGAUAUUAUAUUAAAUGGUGAGGCUAGGAGAAACAAGUACUUUGAUGUAUUGCUGGUGUGACUGCAAACAGAUACAAGCUUUUUGGCCAAGCAAUCACACUUCUAGAAUUUAUUCUUUACAUAUCCUUGCAAUAUGAAAAUACAAAUGUGUAAGAUUAUGCUUUUCAGCAUUAUUUGUAUUUGCAAAAUGUUGGAAACUAUCUAAAGGCUCAGACAUAGGAGACAGGUUGGUAAAACCAUGGUCCAUGCAUACUAGGGAGUGCAAUGCAACUAUUUAAAAAAAUAAAGAAUCUUCUUUAAUUGAUAAGGAGUAUUCCCCAGGAUAUAUUGUUAAGUGAUAGAAGAAAAAUGCAAAAAAGAAUAAACAGAAGGCUAAAUUUUGUGGAAAAAAAAGAAGAAAUAAGAAAGUAUACAUGUAUUUGCUUAGGUUAUCAAAAACAAAAAAUGAGUUAACCAGAGUGUAAAUGAUAAAGCAAAUGGGGCAAAAUGUCUUAAAAAUGAUAAAAUGUUAAAAAUUGGUUAAGUUUGGGUAAUGGUUAUAUAGGUAAAUUGAGUCAAAGAGCAUACAGGGUUUUUUUUCCGGAGUAUUUUUACAAAUUUCUUGUAAGCUGGAAAUUAUUUCAAAAAGAAUGUUAAUAAUAUUAACAUAAUAAUCAUAAUAUAUUAUGACCAGUGAAAUCACUUCUAGGAAUGCAGGAAUGAUUUGAACUAAAAAAAAAAAAGAAAUAAAUACUUUAAUACACAUGAAAAGGUCAUUUCAUCAAAUAAGAUUAUGCAGCCAUUAAAUAAAAAUUCGAAGUAAAAUAAUGGUAAUAAAAAUCAUUAAAAUUUGAUGAAAACUAUCAAAACUUAACAGGAAAUUCAUUCAAAAAGUGAAACACAUUUAAGCCAUUUCAGUCAAAUCAGGAUAGAGUCAGGGAUUUCUGCUAUCAGAAAUUGCAAUUAAGACAGAAAAAUAAGAUAGUAUAAAUAUUAGGGAAAAAGAUAAAAUUAGAUAUUUUCCCCCAAGAUCCUAAUUACUGUAGGUUUUAUUUGCCUGAAAGAGUGAAAGAUUUUAGUUUCAAUAAACCAAAUGGACUGAAGAUUUUAGAUUUAAUUGAACCAAACCAGGCCCUACUCAGAGCAAGUAGUUACUGGAUAAAAAAGAAUAGAUACUCAGAGAAAACAUUUGCAAAGUGGACAUAUCAAGCUGUUGAUUAUGAUAAUAAUAAGCCUAAUAGAAGAAAUUGUAAACAUUUCUAACUAUAUAAAAAUUUUAAAAAAUCAUAUGCAAAAUUAAAAGGAUUAUAUUAAAAAAUCAGAAGCAAUGUCAAGAGACAAUUUAUAUAUUUGAAAAAAAUGAUUUAUAAGGCAGAUGACACAUAAAGGGUCUAUAACUUCAGAGUUCUUACAAACUGAUGGUUAAAAAAGACUAAUAACCCAAUGCGAAAAAAGGUAAUAGCUAUGAUGGGACAAAUAACAGAGAACUGAUUAUAAAUAGUCAAUAAAUAUAUGAAAAUAUGGAAUAAAGACAACAUAAUAUAAACUAAGAUAUCACUUUGUGCUUCUAUUACUGGAAAAAAUACAACAAGGUCAACAAUAACUUGUUAACAAAAAUGUGGGAGAAAGAGUUUUUAAAUAUAUUGCUGGUGGAAAGGUGAACUGAUAAAGUGAUGUGGUAAUAGCUACUAUAAUUUAAAAUACACAUUCUACAACCCCACUCCUUGGAAUCUAUACCUUAGAAAUAAAUACAGUAAUAUGUUAGGACACAGGUACUAAUAUAAAAAUUGCAGUAUUUUCUUAGUGGCAAUAUUCACCAGUAGGGGAAUAGCUGAACUGUGGCACAUUCACAACAGGGAAUACUGUACAGAAUGUAAAAUGAAAGAAAGAAAGAAAGAAAGAAAGGAAGAAAGAAAGAAAACUGCUUCCUGCAAGAGAGAGUAGAUACACAUUCCCUAAUUUAUCCUGCUAAAUACCACUGAUAACUCUGGAUGUUAUAUAUAAAACAAAUACAAGUAGCUUCUGAAAGGCAGAAGGAAGACCAGCUAAGGACCUCAGGUCCUAAAUGUAGUUAAUUCCCUGGGGUUUUCUUUAUGCCUCACAUAUCCCAGACUGUUUGCUGGAAAAGCUGGUAACCUGGAAACACCA